AGAAAGGAGGUGUUCCAGCCGCACCUUCCGGUACGGCUACCUUGUUACGACUUAGCCCCAGUCACCAGUUUUACCCUAGGACGAUCCUUGCGGUUACGUACUUCAGGUACCCCCGGCUCCCAUGGCUUGACGGGCGGUGUGUACAAGGCCCGGGAACGUAUUCACCGCGCCGUGGCUGAUGCGCGAUUACUAGCGAAUCCAGCUUCACGAAGUCGGGUUGCAGACUUCGAUCCGAACUGAGAGAGGAUUUUGGGAUUAGCAUACGGUCACCCGCUAGCUGCCUUCUGUACCCCCCAUUGUAACACGUGUGUAGCCCCGGACGUAAGGGCCGUGCUGAUUUGACGUCAUCCCCACCUUCCUCACAUCUUACGACGGCAGUCUCUCCAGAGUCCUCAGCAUGACCUGUUAGUAACUGAAGAUAAGGGUUGCGCUCGUUAUGGCACUUAAGCCGACACCUCACGGCACGAGCUGACGACAACCAUGCAGCACCUUCACAGCGGUGAUUGCUCACUGACAUGUUUCCACAUCAUUCCACUGCAAUUUAAGCCCGGGUAAGGUUCCUCGCGUAUCAUCGAAUUAAACCACAUGUUCCUCCGCUUGUGCGGGCCCCCGUCAAUUCCUUUGAGUUUCACCGUUGCCGGCGUACUCCCCAGGUGGAAUACUUAAUGCUUUCGCUUGGCCGCUUACUGUAUAUCGCAAACAGCGAGUAUUCAUCGUUUACUGUGUGGACUACCAGGGUAUCUAAUCCUGUUUGAUACCCACACUUUCGAGCAUCAGUGUCAGUUGCAGUCCAGUGAGCUGCCUUCGCAAUCGGAGUUCUUCGUGAUAUCUAAGCAUUUCACCGCUACACCACGAAUUCCGCCCACCUCUACUGUACUCAAGACUGACAGUAUCAACUGCAAUUUUACGGUUGAGCCGCAAACUUUCACAACUGACUUACCAGUCCACCUACGCUCCCUUUAAACCCAAUAAAUCCGGAUAACGCUCGGAUCCUCCGUAUUACCGCGGCUGCUGGCACGGAGUUAGCCGAUCCUUAUUCAUAUAAUACAUACAAAACAGUAUACAUACUGCACUUUAUUCUUAUAUAAAAGAAGUUUACGACCCAUAGAGCCUUCAUCCUUCACGCUACUUGGCUGGUUCAGGCUAGCGCCCAUUGACCAAUAUUCCUCACUGCUGCCUCCCGUAGGAGUUUGGACCGUGUCUCAGUUCCAAUGUGGGGGACCUUCCUCUCAGAACCCCUAUCCAUCGAAGGCUUGGUGAGCCGUUACCUCACCAACAACCUAAUGGAACGCAUCCCCAUCCUUUACCGGAAUCCUUUAAUAAUGAAACCAUGCGGAAUCAUUAUGCCAUCGGGUAUUAAUCUUUCUUUCGAAAGGCUAUCCCCGAGUAAAGGGCAGGUUGGAUACGUGUUACUCACCCGUGCGCCGGUCGCCAGCAAAGAAAGCAAGCUUUCUUCCUGAUGCCCCUCGACUUGCAUGUGUUAAGCCUGUAGCUAGCGUUCAUCCUGAGCCAGGAUCAAACUCUUCAUUGUAA
rnacentral:rRNA from 1 species